GUCCCAGCUGUAAAACUAUGCAAAACUCAGUGAUGCAUUGGCUUGUGGCCAAUGCAGUGCUGCAGGGAAGCCGUUAAGUUUGCCGCCUGGGAAGUACGUACGCAAGUAUGAAACUUAAAGGAAUUGGCGGGGGAGCACCACAAGGGGUGAAGCCUGCGGUUCAAUUGGAGUCAACGCCAGAAAUCUUACCCGGAGAGACAGCAGAAUGAAGGUCAAGCUGAAGACUUUACCAGACAAGCUGAGAGGUGGUGCAUGGCCGUCGU
rnacentral:rRNA from 1 species